CAUUCAAAAAUGUAAAGUGGCCUUUUGUUCUUUUUGGCCUUAUACCUUGUUACUGAUUAAGCUCCUCCCAUCUCUUCUACCUUCCAUUCUCCCACCGUUUGUAAACAAAUUUAGGUCAUCUCAGAACUUUUCUCUUAUGAAACAACAUAAGAGAUGUGCCAUUGCAGUGGAAAAAGAGAAAACAUGUGUGAUCAGGAAAGCAGGAUUCCCAUCCCAGCUCCAUCCAGAAUGGCAGAAAUUUUCCUCAACAGCAAAGAGGGUUUUUCCUCUUCUGCUAUUACAAGGAUCAUGCUGGUCUCCUCAUCAGCUGGCUGUCCCCUCUCUCCAGAGGAAUCAAAAUGAUGACAGCCUACGAAUGGCAGGAGAACCUGGGCUCAGACGAACAAGCUGUUGCCUAAUAGAGAGAUAGAUUCCCUAACUUUGUAUCAAUAAAUGUAAUUCAUCAGCUUAUCUCUCUCAAACUCAGUCUAAGGAAGUCAUUUUUCAAUGGUAACCACUUUCCAGCUGGAACUUUUAUGGGUGUUAUCAAAACAGAUGAGAUUGAUAGAGGCUUUUUGAACUCUUCCCAGAGA
rnacentral:lncRNA from 1 species